AGGACGAACGCUGGCGGCGUGCUUAACACAUGCAAGUCGAGCGGUAAGGCUCCUUCGGGAGUACACGAGCGGCGAACGGGUGAGUAACACGUGAGCAAUCUGCCCUUCUCUUCGGAAUAACCAUUGGAAACGAUGGCUAAUGCCGAAUACGACCUCCUUUCGCAUGAUCGGAGGUGGAAAGCUCCGGCGGAGAAGGAUGAGCUCGCGGCCUAUCAGCUAGUUGGCGGGGUAACGGCCCACCAAGGCGACGACGGGUAGCCGGCCUGAGAGGGUGACCGGCCACACUGGGACUGAGACACGGCCCAGACUCCUACGGGAGCAGCAGUGGGGAAUA
rnacentral:rRNA from 1 species